CACAAAUUAAAAUAUGAAGGCUUCGGCUGGAUUAUUUUUAUCACCCUUGUCUUUUUGCGCACUUGUUGUUUCCUGGGCGGGUUCGCCCGCCACCAGGACCACACCAUAAAACCUUUUUUAUGCAGUUGCAAUCAGCGUCAGUAUAACAAAUGUAAAUCAUUUA
rnacentral:misc_RNA from 1 species